UACGUAGGGUGCAGGCGUUAAUCGGAAUUACUGGGCGUAAAGCGUGCGCAGGCGGUCUUUUAAGUCAGAUGUGAAAUCCCCGGGCUUAACCUGGGAACUGCGUCUGAAACUGGAAGGCUAGAGUGUGGCAGAGGGGGGUGGAAUUCCCGGUGUAGUGGUGGAAUGCGUAGAUAUCGGGAGGAACACCAGUGGCGAAGGCGGUUGCCUGGGGCUUUGCUGACGCUGAGGCGCGAAAGCGUGGGGAGCGAUCCGG
rnacentral:rRNA from 1 species